rnacentral:rRNA from 1 species
UACGUAGGGUGCAAGCGUUAAUCGGAAUUACUGGGCGUAAAGCGUGCGCAGGCGGUUAUGUAAGACAGAUGUGAAAUCCCCGGGCUUAACCUGGGAACUGCAUUUGUGACUGGCAAGCUAGAGUAUGGCAGAGGGGGUAGAAUUCCACGUGUAGCAGUGAAAUGCGUAGAGAUGUGGAGGAAUACCGAUGGCGAAGGCAGCCCCCUGGGCCAAUACUGACGCUCAUGCACGAAAGCGUGGGAGCAAACAGG